UAGCGGAACUCCUACGGGAGGCAGCAGUGAGGAAUAUUGGUCAAUGGGCGCAGGCCUGAACCAGCCAAGUAGCGUGAAGGAUGACUGCCCUAUGGGUUGUAAACUUCUUUUAUAAAGGAAUAAAGUCGGGUAUGUAUACCCGUUUGCAUGUACUUUAUGAAUAAGGAUCGGCUAACUCCGUGCCAGCAGCCGCGGUAAUACGGAGGAUCCGAGCGUUAUCCGGAUUUAUUGGGUUUAAAGGGAGCGUAGGUGGAUUGUUAAGUCAGUUGUGAAAGUUUGCGGCUCAACCGUAAAAUUGCAGUUGAUACUGGCAGUCUUGAGUACAGUAGAGGUGGGCGGAAUUCGUGGUGUAGCGGUGAAAUGCUUAGAUAUCACGAAGAACUCCGAUUGCGAAGGCAGCUCACUGGACUGCAACUGACACUGAUGCUCGAAAGUGUGGGUAUCAAACAGGAUUAGAAACCCUAGUAGUCCACUUAUG
rnacentral:rRNA from 1 species